CAAACAACAACAGUACAAAUUCAAAUUCUCCAGCUCAUUUCUGUGUCUGCUUAUUGCAACAAUAUGUUUAUAUUGAUUAAGCCUCUAAGACUUAUGCAUGAUAGAAAGAAGAUAAUUUGGGUCCUGAAAGGGGCAUAAUGUCAGAAGUAUCUGUGAUUGUAUUGAAAGCUUAACUGUGUUGUGUUUCAUUUUAUUUUAUUCUAUGUGAUACCAUUCAGAUAGUCCUGGACUUCUGGAAAUCUUGCCUUAAACAUUUCUCACAACUGGUAGAUGUUUGUUUGCUCUCUUUUUACUUAAUAAUUAAAUAAUAUUAACAUAAAAGCAGCAAGAGAAACUUAAGUAUGUCUUCAAUAUUUUAAAAAGCUGAAUAAGUAAAGGAAAAGACCUAAAAGCUGAGGCGAAGAAAGAAGUCCAAACUGUGCUGGUUAGUUGGGAUUGGCUAAAAGCUAUAUUUGCAUGUCAUUUCAAAGGUGCUAAUUAGGAAACAUGCUCUUAGAAAUAUUUUCCACAACACUCCUAUGAUUCUAGAUAUUACCUUUUUGAUAAUGUCAAGUAUAUAAAUUACAUUGAACUCCUUGGCUGCAAAGUGAAAACAAGGUCAAGUUCAGCUUGCUUGAACUGCUUGGGACUCAUGUUUAAAUUAUGGUCAUAAAUAUGUGUCAUAAACAGCACAACAAAUGUGCUGUUUAAAUUAUGGUCAUAAAUAUUUUAGAUAUUAAAAAUCUUUCAAAGUAAUAUGUUUCAACAACAAUAGUAAUUCUGUAGAUUUUAAAAAUGGCUUUUUUUUGAACUGUCUCAAUAGCAAAAAAAUUCAGCUGGAGGAAAGCCCUUUGAAAUCCUGAAACCUGCACCAGGUUCAUUUCUGAAAUGAAUGCCAGACAUUCAGAGAUGUUUGACCUUUGUAAGUUCUUCUGGUUCCCUUUUCAGGCUAUAACAGAAGAGAUGCAUUGGCACAUCAAUGAAACAGGAUGCUUGGGCAAACUUGUAUUACCUCAAGAUGCAUCAAACACGAGUAUUGACAUGAGACUUCUGAGAAGUCUGCUGUUAGAUUUUAUCUUUAAUUUCCCAGGCAGAGCUGCAGGCUGAAAUUCUGACUGUAUUGUAAGUCACCAGUGUAAGCUGUUGAUACUUGUUGGUUAUGAGGUUAUUCAAUGCAUUCAAACUUACACGUUUACUUUAGGUGUGGUGAAACUGUAUUCUCCUUUUUCCAUUAAUUGUACAGUACUACUGUAGAAUUAUAUGUUUCUAUGAUUGCUGGAGAACAUCUUCAUUUGUUUACAACUUACUUGAAAUGAACCUUACAUUUGACUUAAUCCACUCUGUAAGAAUUGCUCAUGCCAUAUUCCAACAAGAAGGAAACUGAAGACUGUGCAUAUUAUUUAUCUGGAAGGGAUAAAAUGCAUUAUCUAUCAAGCUGUAACUUUUCAAUCUAUUUAUUUAUUUACUUAUUUUAAGUCAAGAGGUAAGUCCACAACUGCAGGGAGAGACAUCUGCAUGUUGAACCUGACAUACCAAGAGAUCAUACUGCACAUUGGUAGUAGCUGAAAUGACACAUGAUGUACCAACUAGCUUUUAUGUGAAAGGUACAUAGCAUUGCUAAAAAGAGUUAGUGUGCAUUUAUCUGGAAUAACAUAUGGCUUCAGAGCUGGAUCUCACACUACUGGUUUUUGCCUCUACCUGCACCUGUGUGAUCUAGCAGGAAUUAGCAUACAAAGAAACCUUUCAGUCCUGUUCCUAUGAGGCAGUUAAUAAAUGCAGCUUCUCAGAUUUACA
ensembl:lncRNA